AAAUUGAAGAGUUUGAUCAUGGCUCAGAUUGAACGCUGGCGGCAGGCCUAACACAUGCAAGUCGAACGGUAACAGGAAGCAGCUUGCUGCUUCGCUGACGAGUGGCGGACGGGUGAGUAAUGUCUGGGAAACUGCCUGAUGGAGGGGGAUAACUACUGGAAACGGUAGCUAAUACCGCAUAAUGUCGCAAGACCAAAGAGGGGGACCUUCGGGCCUCUUGCCAUCGGAUGUGCCCAGAUGGGAUUAGCUUGUUGGUGGGGUAACGGCUCACCAAGGCGACGAUCCCUAGCUGGUCUGAGAGGAUGACCAGCCACACUGGAACUGAGACACGGUCCAGACUCCUACGGGAGGCAGCAGUGGGGAAUAUUGCACAAUGGGCGCAAGCCUGAUGCAGCCAUGCCGCGUGUAUGAAGA
rnacentral:rRNA from 1 species